GACGAACGCUGGAGGCGUGCCUAAUACAUGCAAGUAGAACGCACAGUUUAUACCGUAGCUUGCUACACCAUAGACUGUGAGUUGCGAACGGGUGAGUAACGCGUAGGUAACCUGCCUGGUAGCGGGGGAUAACUAUUGGAAACGAUAGCUAAUACCGCAUAAUAUUAAUUAUUGCAUGAUAAUUAAUUGAAAGGUGCAAUUGCACCACUACCAGAUGGACCUGCGUUGUAUUAGCUAGUAGGUGAGGUAACGGCUCACCUAGGCGACGAUACAUAGCCGACCUGAGAGGGUGAUCGGCCACACUGGGACUGAGACACGGCCCAGACUCCUACGGGAGGCAGCAGUAGGGAAUCUUCGGCAAUGGACGCAAGUCUGACCGAGCAACGCCGCGUGAGUGCAGAAGGUUUUCGGAUCGUAAAGCUCUGUUGUAAGAGAAGAACGGGUGUGAGAGUGGAAAGUUCACACUGUGACGGUAUCUUACCAGAAAGGGACGGCUAACUACGUG
rnacentral:rRNA from 1 species